rnacentral:rRNA from 1 species
CGCGGUAAUUCCAGCUCCAAUAGCGUAUAUUAAAGUUGUUGCAGUUAAAAAGCUCGUAGUUGAAUUUCGGGGUUAGUAGGUUGGUCAUGCCUCUGGUAUGUACUGGUCUCACUGAUUCCUCCUUCCUGAUGAGCCGUAAUGCCAUUAAUUUGGUGUUGCGGGGAAUUUGGACUGUUACUUUGAAAAAAUUAGAGUGUUUAAAGCAAGCUAACGCUUGAAUACAUUAGCAUGGAAUAAUGAAAUAGGACGUUCGAUCCUAUUUUGUUGGUUUCUAGGAUUGACGUAAUGAUUAAUAGGGAUAGUUGGGGGCAUUAGUAUUCAAUUGUCAGAGGUGAAAUUCUUGGAUUUAUUGAAGACUAACUACUGCGAAAGCAUUUGCCAAGGAUGUUUUCAUUAAUCAAGAACGAAAGUUAGGGGAUCGAAGACGAUCAGAUACCGUCGUAGUCUUAACCAUAAACUAUGCCGACUAGGGAUCGGAUGA